rnacentral:rRNA from 1 species
AUUGAACGCUGGCGGCAUGCCUUACACAUGCAAGUCGAACGGCAGCACGGGAGCAAUCCUGGUGGCGAGUGGCGAACGGGUGAGUAAUAUAUCGGAACGUGCCCAGUCGUGGGGGAUAACGCAGCGAAAGCUGUGCUAAUACCGCAUACGAUCUACGGAUGAAAGCGGGGGAUCGCAAGACCUCGCGCGAUUGGAGCGGCCGAUAUCAGAUUAGCUAGUUGGUGGGGUAAAGGCCCACCAAGGCGACGAUCUGUAGCUGGUCUGCGAGGACGACCAGCCACACUGGAACUGAGACACGGUCCAGACUCCUACGGGAGGCAGCAGUGGGGAAUUUUGGACAAUGGGCGCAAGCCUGAUCCGGCAAUGCCGCGUGCAGGAUGAAGGCCUUCGGGUUGUAAACUGCUUUUGUACGGAACGAAACGGCCCUUUCUAAUACAGGGGGCUAAUGACGGUACCGUAAGAAUAAGCACCGGCUAACUACGUGCCAGCCGCCGCCGUAA